GAUGAAGAACGCAGCGAAAUGCGAUAAGUAGUGUGAAUUGCAGAAUUCAGUGAAUCAUCGAAUCUUUGAACGCACAUUGCGCCCUUUGGUAUUCCAAAGGGCAUGCCUGUUCGAGCGUCAUUUGUACCCUCAAGCUUUGCUUGGUGUUGGGCGUCUUGUCUCUAGCUUUGCUGGAGACUCGCCUUAAAGUAAUUGGCAGCCGGCCUACUGGUUUCGGAGCGCAGCACAAGUCGCACUCUCUAUCAGCAAAGGUCUAGCAUCCAUUAAGCCUUUUUUUCAACUUUUGACCUCGGAUCAGGUAGGGAUACCCGCUGAACUUAAGCAUAUCAAUAAGAGGA
rnacentral:misc_RNA from 1 species